ACGGAGGGAGCUAGCGUUGUUCGGAAUUACUGGGCGUAAAGCGUACGUAGGCGGUUAUUCAAGUCAGAGGUGAAAGCCCGGGGCUCAACCCCGGAACGGCCUUUGAAACUAGGUAGCUAGAAUCUUGGAGAGGUCAGUGGAAUUCCGAGUGUAGAGGUGAAAUUCGUAGAUAUUCGGAAGAACACCAGUGGCGAAGGCGACUGACUGGACAAGUAUUGACGCUGAGGUACGAAAGCGUGGGGAGCAAACAGGAUUAGAUACCCUGGUAGUCCACGCCGUAAACGAUGAUAACUAGCUGUUCGGGCACUUGGUGCCUGAGUGGCGCAGCUAACGCAUUAAGUUAUCCGCCUGGGGAGUACGGUCGCAAGAUUA
rnacentral:rRNA from 1 species